GGGACAGAUCUCUUUUGGAGAUGGCUCCUCUUGGAGUCUUCUGAGUAAGCCCAGGACAAGGGCUACUGGCUCAGCCUUGACAGAGUGCCAAGCAGGAGCCAGGAAGGCAGUGUCAGUGAGGAGGGCCUGAGCAUGUCAGAACUCUCCACAAGCACUAUGCUCCCUGGGAAUGCUUGUUAAAAUGGAGAAGUACUUCUGUCUGCAUCUGGUGAAGUCAGCCCUAAAGUAGAUGAAAUACUAAACUGCUCUGGCCAGAGAUUAUGCAUCCUGAUG